GUUGAACGCUGGCGGCAGGCCUAACACAUGCAAGUCGAGCGGAUGAAGGGAGCUUGCUCCUGGAUUCAGCGGCGGACGGGUGAGUAAUGCCUAGGAAUCUGCCUGGUAGUGGGGGAUAACGUCCGGAAACGGGCGCUAAUACCGCAUACGUCCUGAGGGAGAAAGUGGGGGAUCUUCGGACCUCACGCUAUCAGAUGAGCCUAGGUCGGAUUAGCUAGUUGGUGGGGUAAAGGCCUACCAAGGCGACGAUCCGUAACUGGUCUGAGAGGAUGAUCAGUCACACUGGAACUGAGACACGGUCCAGACUCCUACGGGAGGCAGCAGUGGGGAAUAUUGGACAAUGGGCGAAAGCCUGAUCCAGCCAUGCCGCGUGUGUGAAGAAGGUCUUCGGAUUGUAAAGCACUUUAAGUUGGGAGGAAGGGCAGUAAGUUAAUACCUUGCUGUUUUGACGUUACCAACAGAAUAAGCACCAGCUAACUUCGUG
rnacentral:rRNA from 1 species